rnacentral:rRNA from 1 species
GAAUUGGANAUGGGGGCACCCUGAUCCAGCCAUGCCGCGUGCAGGAUGAAGGCCCUAUGGGUCGUAAACUGCUUUUGUACGGGAAGAAACCUCACUACGUGUAGUGAGUUGACGGUACCGUGAGAAUAAGGAUCGGCUAACUUCGUGCCAGCAGCCGCGGUAAUACGAAGGAUCCAAGCGUUGUCCGGAUUUACUGGGUUUAAAGGGUGCGUAGGCGGACUUUUAAGUCAGUGGUGAAAGCCUGUAGCUUAACUAUAGAAUUGCCAUUGAAACUGAAAGUCUCGAGUGUGGUUGAGGUAACUGGAAUAUAUCAUGUAGCGGUGAAAUGCUUAGAUAUGAUAUAGAACACCAAUUGCGAAGGCAGGUUACUGAGCCAUUACUGACGCUGAGGCACGAAAGCGUGGGGAUCAAACAGGAUUAGAUACCCUGGUAGUCCACGCCGUAAACGUUGCAUACUCGAUCUUAGCGAUACACAGUUAGGAUCCAAGCGAAAGCGUUAAGUAUGCCACCUGGGAAGUACGUUCGCAAGAAUGAAACUCAAAAGAAUUGACGA